UACGAAGGUGGCAAGCGUUGUUCGGAAUCACUGGGCUUAAAGAGCACGUAGGCGGCCUUGCAAGCGCUUUGUGAAAUCCCUCGGCUCAACCGGGGAGUUGCUGGGCGGACUGCAAGGCUUGAGGCAGGUAGGGGUGUGUGGAACUCUAGGUGGAGCGGUGAAAUGCGUAGAUAUCUAGAGGAACGCCGGAGGCGAAAGCGGCACACUGGGCCUGUCCUGACGCUGAGGUGCAAAAGCUAGGGGAGCAAACGGG
rnacentral:rRNA from 1 species